rnacentral:rRNA from 1 species
AGUCGAGCGGCAGAAGGGAGCUUGCUCCCGGAUGUUAGCGGCGGACGGGUGAGUAACACGUGGGUAACCUGCCUGUAAGACUGGGAUAACUCCGGGAAACCGGAGCUAAUACCGGAUAGUUCCUUGAACCGCAUGGUUCAAGGAUGAAAGACGGUUUCGGCUGUCACUUACAGAUGGACCCGCGGCGCAUUAGCUAGUUGGUGGGGUAAUGGCUCACCAAGGCGACGAUGCGUAGCCGACCUGAGAGGGUGAUCGGCCACACUGGGACUGAGACACGGCCCAGACUCCUACGGGAGGCAGCAGUAGGGAAUCUUCCGCAAUGGACGAAAGUCUGACGGAGCAACGCCGCGUGAGUGAUGAAGGUUUUCGGAUCGUAAAGCUCUGUUGUUAGGGAAGAACAAGUGCGAGAGUAACUGCUCGCACCUUGACGGUACCUAACCAGAAAGCCACGGCUAACUACGUGCCAGCAGCCGCGGUAAUACGUAGGUGGCAAGCGUUGUCCGGAAUUAUUGGGCGUAAAGGGCUCGCA